rnacentral:rRNA from 1 species
GUGGAUUAGAUACCCUGGUAGUCCACGCCCUAAACGAUGUCUACUAGUUGUCGGGUCUUAAUUGACUUGGUAACGCAGCUAACGCGUGAAGUAGACCGCCUGGGGAGUACGGUCGCAAGAUUAAAACUCAAAGGAAUUGACGGGGACCCGCACAAGCGGUGGAUGAUGUGGAUUAAUUCGAUGCAACGCGAAAAACCUUACCUACCCUUGACAUGUCAGGAAUCCUGAAGAGAUUUGGGAGUGCUCGAAAGAGAGCCUGAACACAGGUGCUGCAUGGUUGUCGACAACU